ensembl:snRNA U6 U6 spliceosomal RNA
GUGCUCACUUUGGCAGCACGUGCACUAAGAUUGGAAAGACGCAUAGAAGACCAGCACGGCCCUUGUGCAAGGGUGACCUGCACAUUCAUGGAAAUCUCCCAACCUAG